UGGGGAAUCUUGCACAAUGGGGGCAACCCUGAUGCAGCGACGCCGCGUGAGCGAUGAAGCCCUUCGGGGCGUAAAGCUCUUUUAGUCGGAAAGAAAGAGUUGCAAUGAAUAAUUGUGAUUUAUGACGGUACCGACAGAAAAAGCACCGGCUAACUACGUGCCAGCAGCCGCGGUAAUACGUAGGGUGCGAGCGUUAAUCGGAAUUACUGGGCGUAAAGGGUGCGCAGGCGGUCUUGCAAGUCAGAUGUGAAAGCCCCGGGCUUAACCUGGGAAUUGCGUUUGAAACUACAAGACUAGAGUGCAGCAGAGGGGAGUGGAAUUCCAUGUGUAGCAGUGAAAUGCGUAGAGAUGUGGAAGAACACCGACGGCGAAGGCAGCUCCCUGGGUUGACACUGACGCUCAUGCACGAAAGCGUGGGGAGCAAACA
rnacentral:rRNA from 1 species